AGAAUUCAAUGCACAUGCAGUUGCGGCGGUGCCGCAGAACGGGGAAGCCGGUGGAACUCCGGCGCAGUCUUACCUCUACUGUAAGCGCGGACGAAGGUGCACAAGCCAUUGGCCCAGCGGGGCUGAGAAGGCGCGCCGGAGGAGGAAGCGCAAGCCAGGAGACCCGCUGCAGAGUGGCAGUUGCG
rnacentral:ncRNA from 2 species